AUUGAACGCUGGCGGCAGGCUUAACACAUGCAAGUCGAGCGGAGAUGAGGUGCUUGCACCUUAUCUUAGCGGCGGACGGGUGAGUAAUGCUUAGGAAUCUGCCUAUUAGUGGGGGACAACAUUCCGAAAGGAAUGCUAAUACCGCAUACGUCCUACGGGAGAAAGCAGGGGAUCUUCGGACCUUGCGUUAAUAGAUGAGCCUAAGUCGGAUUAGCUAGUUGGUGGGGUAAAGGCCUACCAAGGCGACGAUCUGUAGCGGGUCUGAGAGGAUGAUCCGCCACACUGGGACUGAGACACGGCCCAGACUCCUACGGGAGGUAGCAGUGGGGAAUAUUGGACAAUGGGGGGAACCCUGAUCCAGCCAUGCCGCGUGUGUGAAGAAGGCCUUAUGGUUGUAAAGCACUUUAAGCGAGGAGGAGGCUACUGAGACUAAUACUCUUGGAUAGUGGACGUUACUCGCAGAAUAAGCACCGGCUAACUCUGUGCCAGCAGCCGCGGUAA
rnacentral:rRNA from 1 species